CUGGCCUUUCCAAGGAGCAGAAGGGGCAGAAGAUGAUUUGGGGGUUUGCAACCCUCUAGGAUAGAGUCCUGCCCCACUGUGACAAUUGGAGAGCUAGCCAUCCUCUGGGUUUGGUGUGAUGUGAGGACAUUGUGGUCACUCCAGCAAGAGGCUCUGCAAAG
rnacentral:lncRNA from 1 species